rnacentral:rRNA from 1 species
GAGACAUAUGCUCGUAAAAUUGUGUCUGCAAGACGGAUGUUUAAAUUUCGCUGGAGUUGAGCCAGAUCUCUGACUCUUUCGGUAGGCACAAUCUGGAUAUUAGACGAAUGGAGCUAUUCUUAUCCAGCAAUGCGUCUGGGUGAAUAAAGGCAUCCGGGAAGACAAGCCUUUUCUACGGGGGGUACAGCGUAAGGGUAAGAAUCUAAUCUCAUGUCGGUGCGGUAAGGAAUAAACACCGGCGAAGUUUGUGUUAGCAGUCCCGGUAAUACGACGGGUGCAAGAGUUAAUCAGAUUUUUGGGCGUAAAGCGUGAGUAUGAGGUUGGUUAAUCUGACGUGCAAGCCGUGGGCUGAACCUGGAAUGGCAUGGGAUACUGUCGGGGUAGAGUCAGCUAGAGGGUGGUGGAAUUCCCGGUGUAGCGGUGAAAUGCGUAGAGAUCAGGAUGUACAUCUGUGUUGAAGGCGGCCACCUGGACCAUGAGUGACGCUGAGGCUCGACAGCGUGGGGAGCAAACAGGAUUAGAUACCCUAGUACUCCACGCCCUAAGGGAUGUGACCUGGAUGUUGACCUCAACUCGGAGCUCAGUGUCGAAGCUAACGCGUUAAGUUAGCCGCCUGGGGAGUACGGUCGCAAGACUGAAACUCAAAGGAAUUGACGGGGGCCCGCACAAGCGGUGGAGUAUGUGGUUUAAUUCGAUGCAACGCGAAGAACCUUACCUGGCCUUGACAUUUCCGGAAUCCUGCAGAGAUGCGGGAGUGCCUUCGGGAAUCGGAACACAGGUGCUGCAUGGCUGUCGUCAGCUCGUGUCGUGAGAUGUUGGGUUAAGUCCCGCAACGAGCGCAACCCUUGUCCUUAGUUGCCAUCACGUAAUGGUGGGAACUCUAAGGAGACUGCCGGUGACAAACCGGAGGAAGGUGGGGAUGACGUCAAGUCAUCAUGGCCCUUACGGCCAGGGCUACACACGUACUACAAUGGUCGGGACAGAGGGCAGCAAGACCGCGAGGUGGAGCCAAUCCCAGGAACCCGAUCUCAGUCCGGAUCGCAGUCUGCAACUCGACUGCGUGAAGUCGGAAUCGCUAGUAAUCGCGAAUCAGCAAUGUCGCGGUGAAUACGUUCCCGGGCCUUGUACACACCGCCCGUCACACCAUGGGAGUGGGCUGCUCCAGAAGCAGGUAGUCUAACCGCAAGGAGGACGCUUGCCACGGAGUGUUCAAACUGGU